GCGGUGACCAUGGCGGUGGAGGAGGAGGAGGAUGACAUAGCCAAUAGAUAAAUAAUUUAAUUUUUUUUUUUUUAUUUGGGGUAGCCCCCAAAAUAUUGGGACAUAUAAAAAAAAUUACAACUCUGUUCCGCAGAGUAGCUGUUGACAUUAUAGUUGCGCAGGCACCUUGUUGACUCUAGAGAACCAUGGGCCAAUCGCACAUUCCCGUGGCGGCGACUUUGCAUGCGUAUGUCAUCCACAUCAACUUUCUGCGCCUACCAUGGUGACCACGAGUAAUGGGGAAUCAGGGUUCCAUUCCGUACAGGGACCCUGAGAAACGGCUACCACAUGCAAGGAAGGCAGCAGGCGCGCAAAUGACCCACUCCCGACGCGGUAUGGUAGUGAC